rnacentral:rRNA from 1 species
AGAGUUUGAUCCUGGCUCAGAACGAACGCUGGCGGCAGGCCUAACACAUGCAAGUCGAGCGCGCCUUCGGGCGAGCGGCGGACGGGUUAGUAACGCGUGGGAACGUGCCCAGAUCUACGGAAUAGCCACUGGAAACGGUGAGUAAUACCGUAUACGCCCUUAGGGGGAAAGAUUUAUCGGAUUUGGAUCGGCCCGCGUUAGAUUAGGUAGUUGGUGGGGUAACGGCCUACCAAGCCUACGAUCUAUAGCUGGUUUUAGAGGAUGAUCAGCAACACUGGGACUGAGACACGGCCCAGACUCCUACGGGAGGCAGCAGUGGGGAAUCUUGGACAAUGGGGGCAACCCUGAUCCAGCCAUGCCGCGUGAGUGAAGAAGGCCCUAGGGUCGUAAAACUCUUUCGCCUGUGAUGAUAAUGACAGUAGCAGGUAAAGAAACCCCGGCUAACUCCGUGCCAGCAGCCGCGGUAAUACGGAGGGGGUUAGCGUUGUUCGGAAUUACUGGGCGUAAAGCGCACGUAGGCGGAUUAGAAAGUUAGAGGUGAAAUCCCGGGGCUCAACCCCGGAACUGCCUUUAAAACUACUAGUCUAGAGUUCGAGAGAGGUGAGUGGAAUUCCGAGUGUAGAGGUGAAAUUCGUAGAUAUUCGGAGGAACACCAGUGGCGAAGCGGCUCACUGGCUCGAUACUGACGCUGAGGUGCGAAAGUGUGGGGAGCAAACAGGAUUAGAUACCCUGGUAGUCCACACCGUAAACGAUGAAU